GCGCAACCCUCGACCUUAGUUGCCAGCAUUCAGUUGGGCACUCUAAGGUGACUGCCGGCUAAAAGUCGGAGGAAGGUGGGGAUGACGUCAAAUCAUCAUGCCUCUUAUGACCUGGGCUACGCACGUGCUACAAUGGUUGGUACAACGAGUUGCGAGUCGGUGACGGCGAGCUAAUCUCUUAAAGCCAAUCUCAGUUCGGAUUGUAGGCUGCAACUCGCCUACAUGAAGUCGGAAUCGCUAGUAAUCGCGGAUCAGCACGCCGCGGUGAAUACGUUCCCGGGCCUU
rnacentral:rRNA from 1 species